rnacentral:rRNA from 1 species
GUGGACGCCAGUCUGCACGGAGCCAUCCUUGAAAUACCACCCUUUAACGUUUGAUGUUCUAACCCGGGUCCAUAAUCUGGAUCGGGGACCGUGUCUGGUGGGUAGUUUGACUGGGGCGGUCUCCUCCCAAAGAGUAACGGAGGAGCACGAAGGUUGGCUAAGCAUGGUCGGACAUCAUGCGGUUAGUGCAAAGGCAUAAGCCAGCUUGACUGCGAGAGUGACGGCUCGAGCAGGUACGAAAGUAGGUCUUAGUGAUCCGGUGGUUCUGAAUGGAAGGGCCAUCGCUCAACGGAUAAAAGGUACUCCGGGGAUAACAGGCUGAUACCGCCCAAGAGUUCAUAUCGACGGCGGUGUUUGGCACCUCGAUGUCGGCUCAUCACAUCCUGGGGCUGAAGUAGGUCCCAAGGGUAUGGCUGUUCGCCAUUUAAAGUGGUACGCGAGCUGGGUUUAGAACGUCGUGAGACAGUUCGGUCCCUAUCUGCCGUGGGCGCUGGAAGAUUGAGAGGGGUUGCUCCUAGUACGAGAGGACCGGAGUGAACGCACCACUGGUGUACGGGUUGUGAUGCCAAUUGCAUUGCCCGGUAGCUAAGUGCGGAAGAGAUAACCGCUGAAAGCAUCUAAGCGGGAAACUUGC